UUGUCUAAAGGACUAAGCCAUGCAUGCGAAAGUAUAGAUUUUUUUAUGAAAUCGAAACUGCGAACGGCUCCUUAAAACAGUUAUAAUCUACUUGGAAUUGUUUUUUUACAAGGAUACCUACGGAAACGCUGUAGCUAAUACUUGCUUGAUAUACUUUCGGGUAUAUCGUAUUCGUUGGCUUUAGCGGUAUGGUGCAUUAAUAAAUAUCCUGUGGAAUCACAACGAAGAAGUGACGCGUCCAUUUUUUUUUUUAAUGGUUAGCGCGUACCAAUCGAGUUUCUGAUCUAUCAGCUAAUCACGAAGGUAUUGUCUUGGUGAGGCUAUGACGGAUAACGGGGAAUUAGAGUUCGAUUCCGGAGAGGGCGCCUGAGAGAUGGCGACUAUAACUACGGUUAGCAGCGGGCGCGAAAAUUGCCCAAUACCGACAAGGCGAGGCAGCGACCAGACAUACCGGGCUUCGGCCGUUUUCACGGUUGAUGAACUGGAUUCGGAUCUCCCUAAACGAGAGGUCGAGAGGUAGUUUAGAUCAAGUUGAAGUGCCAGCAUUCGCGGUAAUACUUCCUCAAACGAAUGUAUGUUAAAGUUGUUGCGGUUAAAACGCUCGUAGUUGAUUCUCUUCCAUAGGUUGUUUGACCGGUUGCAUUCUCUUUAUUUUUUUACUAAAAUGAAGAGUCUUUGCUGACUAGUCCCCUAUGGCAUGAUCUUUCAUUUUAUUUCAUAGGAAUCUUCGGAUUUUGUGGAGUAAAUGAGAUCGUUACCUUGAGUAAAUUAGAGUGUUCAAAGCAGGCAUUUUUUUGUUUGAAUAUCUCAGCAUGGAAUAACUACAUUGCGCCAACGUUUGUUUUUGUUCGCACGAGCUGCACAAACUUGGUGCCGAUUAAUAGGAGCAGUUGGGGGCAUCCGUACUCCGGAGCUAGAGGUGAAAUUCUGUGACUUUCGGAAGACGCUCGACUGCGAAGGCACUUGUCCAAAAUGCGUCCAUUAAUCAAGAGCGAAGUUAUGGGCAUCGAAAAAGAUCAGAGACCUUUGUAAUCCAUAAAGUAAACUAUGCCGUCCAGGGCGGAGUUAACCCUAUUGAUGUUUUCUAGCCCAUUCAUUGCAAUGUUCUAAAUAUAUAAUAAAUGUUUUCCCAUCUGUUAUAUUUUUGGAAUAUUUGUGUAUGAUGGAUAAACUUGGAGAACAUCGCCCGAGGCUAGUUCUGCCCUCGUGAGAAAUCCGAGAUUUUGGGUUCCGGGGCGAGUAUAAGCGCAAGCUAGAAAGUUAAAAGAAUUGACGGAGGGGCACCACAAAGCGUGGAGCUUGCGGCUUAAUUUGACUCAACACGGGAAACCUCACUAGUGUAAGACAGCGGUAGGAUUGACAGGUUUGCAGACCUUUCAUGAUUCGCUGGCGGGUGAUGCAUGGCCGUUCCUAGCUCUUGGCGUGAGCUGUCUGGUUAAUUCCGAUAACGAGCGGGACCUCCCCUUCCGUUUGUGCAGUUGCCAUACAAAAGAUAUAAAAAUGUUUUUUUUUUGUUUCUGUUGCUUUCAGUUUACAUUCUUCUUUAGAAGAUGUGAAUAUGAUUAGUAAUAUUUGCAAAUAAAAAUAUUUUAUAUUUUUGACAAUUUAAUUUUUGCAGUACGGAGGGACGUCGCGUGUUUAACGCGAGGCAGGGAGGCCACAACAGGUCUGUGAUGUCCUCAGAUAUGCUAGGCUGCACGCGUGCUACACUGGCGCGCGCAUCGGGCUUAGAUAUAAAAAAUAACUUAUUUUAUGUAAGUGAAUUUUUUUUUCCUCUCUUGAGAAAGCGGGGGAAUCCUGAAUGCGCGCCGUGACGGGGAUCGAAUCUUGCAAUUAGGAUUCUUGAACGAGGAAUGCUUAGUAAGCGCAACUCAUCAGGUUGCGCUGUAUGCGUAACUGCCCUUUGCACACACCGCCCGUCGUUGCUUUUAAUGGAGUGCCAAGUGACUUGUGUAGAGCGUUCGUUCGGUUAUUCGUUCGUUGCAAAGCACUGGGAAUUUUGUUCUCUAGAGAAAG
rnacentral:rRNA from 1 species